rnacentral:rRNA from 1 species
GCGCAGCAGUCGCGAAACCUUCGCAAUGCGGGAAACCGCGACGAGGGGACUCCCAGUGCCUACGCUCAGCGUAGGCUGUUCCCGAGCCUAGAAAGCUCGGGGAGUAAGGGCUGGGUAAGACGGGUGCCAGCCGCCGCGGUAAUACCCGCAGCCCGAGUGGUGGCCACUAUUAUUGGGCCUAAAGCGUCCGUAGCCGGCCCGGUAAAUGCCUGGGUAAAUCGUGAGGCCUAACCUCACGAAUUCCGGGUAGACUGCCGGGCUAGGGACCGGAGGAGGGAGAGGGUACUCCAGGGGUAGGGGUGAAAUCCUGUAAUCCCUGGAGGACCACCGGUGGCGAAGGCGCUCUCCGUAGGACGGUCCAACGGUGAGGGACGAAAGCC